UACGUAGGUGGCGAGCGUUGUCCGGAUUUACUGGGCGUAAAGAGCGCGCAGGCGGUCGUUCAAGUCGCGUGUGAAAGCCCCCGGCUCAACUGGGGAGGGUCACGCGAUACUGAUCGACUCGAAGGCAGGAGAGGGAAGUGGAAUUCCCGGUGUAGUGGUGAAAUGCGUAGAGAUCAGGAAGAACACCGGUGGCGAAAGCGCUCUGCUGGACCUUAACUGACACUGAGGGACGAAAGCUAGGGGAGCGAAUGGG
rnacentral:rRNA from 1 species